CUUGGUCCAUUUAGAGGAAGUAAAAGUCGUAACAAGGUCUCCGUAGGUGAACCUGCGGAGGGAUCAUUACACAAAUAUGAAAGGCAGACCCCCAUUGGGGCGUCUGUCUGCCAUAUUCACCCAUGUCUUUUGCGUACUACUUGUUUCCUUGGCGGGUUCGCCCGCCAAUUGGACCCAAUUAAACCUUUUUUGUAAUUGCAAUCAGCGUCAGCAAAACAAUGUAAUAAAUUACAACUUUCAACAACGGAUCUCUUGGUUCUGGCAUCGAUGAAGAACGCAGCGAAAUGCGAUAAGUAGUGUGAAUUGCAGAAUUCAGUGAAUCAUCGAAUCUUUGAACGCACAUUGCGCCCUUUGGUAUUCCAAAGGGCAUGCCUGUUCGAGCGUCAUUUGUACCCUCAAGCUUUGCUUGGUGUUGGGCGUUUUUGUCUCGGGUCCGCCCCAAGACUCGCCUUAAAAUCAUUGGCAGCCGGCCUACUGGUUUCGGAGCGCAGCACAUUUUUGCGCUUUGUCCAGUCGUGGUCUGCGUCCAUGAAGCGAAUAUUUUCAACGUUGACCUCGAU
rnacentral:rRNA from 1 species